AGGAAACUCUUCCUUGAUUUCAUACGAGUGGUCGGUGGGCUUAUUCCAAACAUUGGAUGUAACUUAUCGUAUUUUUAUUUCGUUCUUUCCCAGUCAGCUUUGACUCCCCGGCGGAUGUCAGGAGGUGCAAUACCUGCAAGGGCAAAGAUCUAUCCGAGUGGUGUGUUAUUUAAACAGUCUGUUAUAAAGCGACAUGAUUCGUUCAAUGU